UGGGGAAUAUUGGACAAUGGGCGAAAGCCUGAUCCAGCCAUGCCGCGUGUGUGAAGAAGGCCUUUUGGUUGUAAAGCACUUUAAGCGAGGAGGAGGCUACUUAGAUUAAUACUCUAGGAUAGUGGACGUUACUCGCAGAAUAAGCACCGGCUAACUCUGUGCCAGCAGCCGCGGUAAUACAGAGGGUGCGAGCGUUAAUCGGAUUUACUGGGCGUAAAGCGUGCGUAGGCGGCUUCUUAAGUCGGAUGUGAAAUCCCUGAGCUUAACUUAGGAAUUGCAUUCGAUACUGGGAAGCUAGAGUAUGGGAGAGGAUGGCAGAAUUCCAGGUGUAGCGGUGAAAUGCGUAGAGAUCUGGAGGAAUACCGAUGGCGAAGGCAGCCAUCUGGCCUAAUACUGACGCGGAGGUACGAAAGCAUGGGGAGCAAACAGG
rnacentral:rRNA from 1 species